rnacentral:rRNA from 1 species
ACUACGGUCGCAAGACUAAAACUCAAAGGAAUUGACGGGGACCCGCACAAGCGGUGGAGCAUGUGGUUUAAUUCGAUGCAACGCGAAAAACCUUACCACUCCUUGACAUGGAGAUUAGAUCCUUCUUAACAGAAGGGCGCAGUUCGGCUGGAUCUCGUACAGGUGCUGCAUGGCUGUCGUCAGCUCGUGUCGUGAGAUGUUGGGUUAAGUCCCGCAACGAGCGUAACCCUCAUCCUUAGUUGCCAGCGGGUAAGCCGGGCACUUUAAGGAAACUGCCGGUGGUAAACCGGAGGAAGGUGGGGAUGAUGUCAAGUCAGCACGGCCCUUAUGGGGUGGGCUACACACGUGCUACAAUGGUGACUACAAUAGGUUGCAAUGUCGCAAGGCUGAGCUAAUCCGUAAAAGUCAUCUCAGUUCGGAUUGUCCUCUGCAACUCGAGGGCAUGAAGUCGGAAUCGCUAGUAAUCGUGGAUCAGCAUGCCACGGUGAAUACGUUCUCGGGUCUUGUACACACUGCCCGUCACGCCAUGGGAAUUGGCUUAACUCGAAGCUGGUGCGCUAACC